rnacentral:rRNA from 1 species
CGGGUGAGUAAUGUAUGGGGAUCUGCCUGAUGGCGGGGGAUAACUACUGGAAACGGCAGCUAAUACCGCAUAAUGUCUACGGACCAAAGCGGGGGACCUCCGGGCCUCGCGCCAUCAGAUGAACCCAUAUGGGAUUAGCUAGUAGGUAAGGUAACGGCUUACCUAGGCGACGAUCCCUAGCUGGUCUGAGAGGAUGAUCAGCCACACUGGGACUGAGACACGGCCCAG